UACAGAGGGGGCAAGCGUUAUUCGGAAUUAUUGGGCGUAAAGGGCGCGUAGGCGGCUUUGCAAGUGACGGGUGAAAUCCCUCGGCUUAACCGAGGAACUGCCUGUCAAACUGCAUGGCUUGAGACCGGGAGAGGUGAGUGGAAUUCCCAGUGUAGCAGUGAAAUGCGUAGAGAUGCGGAGGAACACCGAUGGCGAAGGCAGCCUCCUGGGAUAACACUGACGCUCAGGCACGAAAGCGUGGGGAGCAAACAGG
rnacentral:rRNA from 1 species